GAUGAACGCUGGCGGCGUGCUUAACACAUGCAAGUCGAACGGUGAAGGCGGAGCUUGCUCUGCUGGAUCAGUGGCGAACGGGUGAGUAACACGUGAGCAAUCUGCCCCUGACUCUGGGAUAAGCGCUGGAAACGGCGUCUAAUACUGGAUACGAGCUGCGAAGGCAACUUCAGCAGCUGGAAAGAAUUUCGGUCAGGGAUGAGCUCGCGGCCUAUCAGCUUGUUGGUGAGGUAAUGGCUCACCAAGGCGUCGACGGGUAGCCGGCCUGAGAGGGUGACCGGCCACACUGGGACUGAGAGACGGCCCAGACUCCAACGGGAGGCAGCAGUGGGGAAUAUUGCACAAUGGGCGAAAGCCUGAUGCAGCAACGCCGCGUGAGGGACGACGGCCUUCGGGUUGUAAACCUCUUUUAGCAGGGAAGAAGCGAAAGUGACGGUACCUGCAGAAAAAGCGCCGGCUAACUACGUG
rnacentral:rRNA from 1 species